rnacentral:rRNA from 1 species
GUGCCAGCCGCCGCGGUAAUACGUAUGGGGCAAGCGUUGUUCGGAGUUAUUGGGCGUAAAGGGCGUGUAGGCGGCUCAUCAAGUCUGGUGUGAAAUUGCAGGGCUCAACCCUGCAGGUGCGCUGGAAACUGGUGGGCUAGAGUUCUUGAGGGGAAGCUGGAAUUCCAGGUGUAGGGGUGAAAUCUGUAGAUAUCUGGAAGAACACCGGUGGCGAAGGCGAGCUUCUAUCAGAGGACUGACGCUGAGGCGCGAAAGCGUGGGGAGCAAACAGGAUUAGAUACCCUGGUAGUCCACGCUGUAAACGAUGUGCACUAGGCGUGGGGCACGUACGUGCUCUGUGCCGUAGCCAACGCGAUAAGUGCACCGCCUGGGGAGUAUGCUCGCAAGGGUGAAACUUAAAGGAAUUGACGGGG